rnacentral:lncRNA from 1 species
AUAUAAAUAUGAAUACGUUGUGAUAUUGAAUUGUGCGGACGUGACGCUAGUUUCUAGAUUUAAAACAGCAAUUUGAAAUGUCACGUAAUUUGAACAACUAUUUUUAAUGUUAAGUAAAAGUUUAAGAACUGAAGAAAGAUGGAGAUAAGAGAUCUCCUUCAACAGCAGCGGUGCAGAACAUUUGGUUUCAGCGAGUCCUUCGCUCAAGUGCACCUAAGCGGUCGUGAACCUCCCAGACCGAAUAUUACAGAGCAAGUUUGUUUAACUUGCAGAGACAGGCUUAGAAAAAUAUAUUGCUUAGGAUACCUACUCGGAGAUUAAUUGAAUCCAUUCAAAAAGACCGACUCUUACAAUGGAUAAUCCCAGAAAUAUUCACAAUUGUUCGUACUCAUUUAUUCAAUUUCAUGUACGAUGUAGUUAUAUAAAAUAAGUUCUAAGUAUUAUGUACACGACUUUUUUUAAAUGAGCUGAAUAUGAUCAUUUUAGUUACUUCAGAAAGCUUCGUUAUUGCGUUUUAAAAACGUCGUGUGCGAGUACAUAUUGAAUAUACUUCGCCAGAAUGUGUUAUGUGACCCUACUCCCUCUUUGAUCGGUCGUAUCCGUGAUCAUCAGGCGGGCUACAUGCUCGUAUUAUCGGUCAAUUGCAAAAAAGCAUCAAACUUUUGUAAAAAAAAAUAUUAACGAAAUUAUUUUUUUUAGGAAACGACGAUGUGCACUGUUAAGUCGCACGGGUUUUACAUUUUUCAGCAACUUUUUAUUUUUUUAUCGUUAAAUAUUUUUUUCUUGUUUUGAUUAUUAAAAAAAAACCGCUUCUAUCAGAACGAUGUUCCUAAUGCCGCAUCUUUGCCAGUAUUAUAUGUACUACCGAAUGCCAGUAUAUAAUGAAUUAAAUUAUAGUAUGAACAAAAGAAACAUGUCUUUCAAAAAAACUAAUUGUAGUGUGAAUAUGUCGUAAAAUAUUAUUUUCUUGAAAGUAUUACAGAAAUUAUAAAUUGUUUAAUAGCGUUAAAACUUAAAGUACCUAGUUGGUUAAAAUUCUUUAAAUUUAAAGUUUUAAUACAAUAAUAUAAGGUUAUUAAAAAUCCAGUAUUGCACGGUUAUGUUUUCCUCUUAGUUUUAUGUUUAUUAUUGUCUUUAAUUUUCGUCGAAUAUAGCAUUAAUUGUAUUAUUUUCUAUAAAAAUAGUUCUUAAAUAAUUAUAAGAAUGACGCCAAUAUUUUUAUAAAGGACACAAUAUAACUUGGUUUAACUCUCACUUUCAAUAAAAAAAGUAAAAUUCCAUUGCAGUCUCACUUUCCAUUUUAUAAAAAAUGUACUCAAUGCUCAAUACACAGGUAGCCGAAAGGUGUUUUUAAAAAAUGCCGACUUUUUAACAAUUGCUACUGUCCUUUGUUUAUUUUUCAAAAGACUCUUUUACUUUGUUACUUUUGUUAGUAAUUUAUUUGUACGAAAACAAACUUUUAUACUAAGACGCCGACAUAUAUAUUGUUACAAAUUGUACAAAACAAAGGCUAUGAAUAUAAUGUUAUAAAAACGUUCACUAGUUUAUUGCACAACAACUUAGUUAUAACAAUUUAUGAUAGUUUAUUUUAUAAGUUAAUUAGUUGUACCUACUUAUAUGAAUGUUAAUUAUUUUUUUUUAAUGAACCUUACGACUACAUUCAUGUGAGUAAUUAUAUUAAUAGAAAUUAAGUAUUAUGUUUAGCACCAAUAAUUUUUAAAAACAUAGAUAAUGUUGCAAAUAAUUCCGCUUGCCUCUUUUGUUUGUACCACGCCGGGUAAUCGUUUAGACCGGAAUGUUUGGCUAUAAAGCCAGAGUUUUUAGUUACCGGCUAUCCAAGCAAGUUCGCCCCCGGGGUCAGAAUGAUGAGAGUUUAGAAAGACCUCUAACCCCUCUCUCUAGCAGGGUCUUUGCUACACAAAGCAUUACCUGUAGGUAAUAAUAUAAUGUAUUAUACUUAUGGAAAUAAAGACUAAUUUUUCAAUAAGCAAAGUUAUUCAUAGACAAAGUAAACAAAUUAAGAAUGUCAGUAAUUAUGAAUUAAAUAUAUUGUAUCACUUAUAUUUUCACUCAAGUUAAAAUUAAUUUGUAGGAUAACUUUUAUCAAAAUUAUGUCCUAAAGAAUACUAUAAUCCAUUAAUUUUAAAUUGGUUAACAAAUUUGGAAUUUUAUGAAACUAUUUUAAUAUAGCUACGUAUUUUGUUAUUCAAUGUUUCUUUAUAAUAAGGUAUAAUGUAAUAUUGACAUAUAAAAUUUAUUGUAAGUGAUGGCAGCAUUU